AGCGAACGCUGGCGGCAGGCUUAACACAUGCAAGUCGAGCGGGCCCUUCGGGGUCAGCGGCAGACGGGUGAGUAACACGUGGGAACGUACCCUUUGGUUCGGAAUAACGCUGGGAAACUAGCGCUAAUACCGGAUACGCCCUUUUGGGGAAAGGCUUGCUGCCGAAGGAUCGGCCCGCGUCUGAUUAGCUAGUUGGUGGGGUAAUGGCCUACCAAGGCGACGAUCAGUAGCUGGUCUGAGAGGAUGAUCAGCCACACUGGGACUGAGACACGGCCCAGACUCCUACGGGGGGCAGCAGUGGGGAAUAUUGGACAAUGGGCGCAAGCCUGAUCCAGCCAUGCCGCGUGAGUGAUGAAGGCCUUAGGGUUGUAAAGCUCUUUUGUCCGGGACGAUAAUGACGGUACCGGAAGAAUAAGCCCCGGCUAACUUCGUG
rnacentral:rRNA from 1 species